GUCGUAACAAGGUCUCCGUAGGUGAACCUGCGGNNNGAUCAUUACAAGAACGCCCGGGCUACGGCCUGGUUAUUCAUAACCCUUUGUUGUCCGACUCUGUUGCCUCCGGGGCGACCCUGCCUUCGGGCGGGGGCUCCGGGUGGACACUUCAAACUCUUGCGUAACUUUGCAGUCUGAGUAAACUUAAUUAAUAAAUUAAAACUUUUAACAACGGAUCUCUUGGUUCUGGCAUCGAUGAAGAACGCAGCGAAAUGCGAUAAGUAAUGUGAAUUGCAGAAUUCAGUGAAUCAUCGAAUCUUUGAACGCACAUUGCGCCCCCUGGUAUUCCGGGGGGCAUGCCUGUUCGAGCGUCAUUUCACCACUCAAGCCUCGCUUGGUAUUGGGCAACGCGGUCCGCCGUGUGCCUCAAAUCGUCCGGCUGGGUCUUCUGUCCCCUAAGCGUUGUGGAAACUAUUCGCUAAAGGGUGUUCGGGAGGCUACGCCGUAAAACAACCCCAUUUCUAAGGUUGACCUCGGAUCAGGUAGGGAUACCCGCUGAACUUAAGCAUAUCA
rnacentral:rRNA from 1 species